UACGGGAGGCAGCAGGGAAUAUUGUGCAAUGAGCGAAAGCUUGACACAGCGACACCGCGUGUGGGAUGACGGUUCUAGGAUUGUAAACCACUUUCAGGAGGGAAGAAAAUGACGGUACCUCCACAAGAAGACCCGGCCAACUAUGUGCCAGCAGCCGCGGUAAUACAGCCAGCAGCCGCGGUAAUAC
rnacentral:rRNA from 1 species